rnacentral:lncRNA from 1 species
CCCACAACCUCAACUCUCCAGUGUUCACUCUCUCAGAAUUGUCAACCCCCUCCCCAGUUGGGCCAGGGGAGGUAUUUAUAGCCUUCACUUGUUGUUAUUGGGCCUCGUGGGUUUGUACGGUCAGCCCCGUUCGUCCGCUCGUCCGCCCGCCCGUCCGUCCGCCUGGGCCGUCCGGUCCGGUUCGGUCCAUGGGCCGCGGUCCGCGGUCCAUGGUACCAACAGUAACUCUAUUCGUAACUGAAUUUACCUAGUCUAACAUUCAGAUCAGAGCAACUCCUGCAGUUUAUUUGUUAUCAUUAUACUUCUAUAUCCAAUUAAAAUUCCUUGUGUUUUCAUCCAGCUAUUUCAGCAAAUGUGUGUUACUCAUAUUUUGAAAAGUAAAAAAUAAACAAAUUCAAAUUCAAAUUAGAAAAUUAAUAUAAAUAAUUCCAACCUUACCUAUUUGAACUUAUAGCUUAAAUUUCAUUCGUAUUUGUCUUUAUAGUUUGAGAAAAAUAUCAUAUACGUGUGACAGCUUUAGAGAAAAUAUUCACAAUCUAUUGUGAAGAGGAAAUAUGUUUUAAACAGAUACAAAUUUUAACUACCGAUUCCUUGACGAAGUGAACAUCAAUAUCGAUAUGUUUUGAUCACUGAUUUUGAAGCCAUAAAAAUGAUUGAGUUGUUGUCACAAAAUAUUAUGGGUGUUGAGGUUAAUUUACA